AUGCUUGCUUUGGCAGCACAUAUACUAAAAUUGGAACAAAACAGAGAAGAUUAGCACAGCCCCUGUGCAAGAAUGAUACGCAAAUUCGUGAAGAAUUCCAUAUUUUA
rnacentral:snRNA from 1 species